GAGAAGCACCAACCAUGUUCUCAGAUCACGUGCUGGGUGUUUUACAGAGGAUUUGGUGUUCUCAGACCCAGCUGGGAGCUUAAGAAAACAGAACAGUGUUUCUCUGCCUGUUGCCUUUCUCUGCAGCUCUCGCCAGACCUGAGGACAAGAAAGCUUGGAGCCUGACCUUGGCUCAGGCCAGCUCUGUGCCGUGUUUCCCUCUCCAUACAGGGGUGUCGGGCUUCCCUUUCUGUAGCCCUCUCCCAAUCUUUUGGAGAUUGGUCCAGCCUGGGAGUGAAAGGGCUCAGAUACAGGAGAUAAGAAGUGGGACUUAUUGUUGAAGGAGUUCAGGAGAACUGACCUGGCAGCUGAGGACAAUGACAGGCCCUGGGGGAGACUUUACAGGUGUGUGCAGAGAGAGAAGGAAGAUGUACAGAUAGUACUGUCUUGUGGGGGGCCACCCAGGAGUCCCACUUCCCCCACUUACCAUCUAGGUGGAUCUUGGAGAUAUCCUGCUUCCUUGAAAAAAUGGAGAUGACAAUGGGACCGCACGUAUACUGGAUAUGCUCUUCAAACUGAGUUUUGGGGCAAACAGGAGAGCAUAUGUCUGGGUUCACCAUUGAUGGGUGGACAGAGGCCUUGGUGUGGCCAUUCGUACGGCCCAGUGAAGUCCCUGGAGGUCAGUCACCUCUUGGAAUCCCAGUCCAUCAGACCCUGAAGUUCCCUGGCCCCAGACUUGCAGGAGAGAACACCCUUCUGUGGAAGACUGGGCCCCACAGUGUAGCAGGUGAGCUGGAGCCCCACCCAAGGCGAAUUAGGUUCUCAACUUGACUAGAGUAAAAAAGUAGAAACCCACUCAGGCAUGCUGACCUCAGAACCUAUGCUCUUGGACUUCCCUGGUGGCCCAGUGGUUAAGAAUCUGCCUGGUACUGCAGGAGACACUUGUUCGAGCCCUGGUCUGGGAGGAUCCCACAUGCUUCAUGGCAACUGAGCCCGUGCACCACAACUACUGAACCUGUGCUCUCGAGCCCCUGCUCCACAAGAGAAGCCACUGCAACAAGAAGCCCUCACAACUAGAGAGCAGCCCCACUGGCCGCAACUAGAGAAAGGUGCAUGCAGCAACGAAGACCCUGCACAGC
ensembl:lncRNA